rnacentral:rRNA from 1 species
CGCGACCCCAGGUCAGGCGGGCUUACCCGCUGAAUUUAA